rnacentral:rRNA from 1 species
AAUAUUGGACAAUGGGCGAAAGCCUGAUCCAGCCAUGCCGCGUGUGUGAAGAAGGUCUUCGGAUUGUAUAGCACUUUAAGUUGGGAGGAAGGGCAUUAACCUAAUACGUUAGUGUUUGGACGUUACGGACAGAAUAAGCACCGGCUAACUUCGUGCCAGCAGCCGCGGUAAUACGAGGGGUGCAAGCGUUAAUCGGAAUUACUGGGCGUAAAGCGCGCGUAGGUGGUUCGUUAAGUUGGAUGUGAAAGACCCGGGCUCCAUCUGGGAACUGCAUCCAACACUGGCGUGCUAGAGUACGGUAGAGGGUGGUGGAAUUUCCUGUGUAGCGGUGAAAUGCGUAGAUAUAGGAAGGAACACCAGUGGCGACGGCGACCACCUGGACUGAUACUGACACUGAGGUGCGAAAGCGUGGGGAGCAAACAGG